AUGCAAAUGUUAACAUUUCUUUUAUGUUUUGGUUUUCCAUUUUCAACUGCCUUUUAUUUCCACGCAGGGGAACGUGAGGAGAAAUGCCUAAUAGAAGACAUUCCAAGCGACACACUGGUAACAGGUUGUUUCUUACAUGUUGUAAUGUCUUAUAUUUUUGAAACAGGGACUUUCAAGAUACAGCAAUGGGACAUAGGCAGACAUACGUUCCUUGAAUCUGCUCCUGGUUUGGGAAUGUUUGUGACUAUUACAACUUACAAUGAUGAGGUAGUAAUAUUGUCGAAGCUAUACGGCCCGCAAGGGACAUUCUAUUUUACUUCACAUUCACCUGGUGAACACACCAUUUGCUUAGAAUCUAAUUCUACAAGGCUUGUGUCAUUUGGAGGGAGUAGGCUGCGGAUCCACUUAGAUAUUCGAGUUGGAGAACACGACCUUGAUGCGGCCAUUGCUCAAGCAAAGGACAAAGUUAAUGAACUUACCUUCAAGCUUGAACAUCUAAUUGAACAAAUUGAGCAAAUAGUCAAAGAACAAAACUAUCAAAGGGACCGUGAAGAAAAUUUUCGAACGACCAGUGAAGAUACAAAUAGCAAUGUUUUAUGGUGGGCUUUUGCACAAAUACUAAUCUUUAUCUCAGUCGGAAUUUUCCAAAUGAAGUACCUGAAAGACUUCUUUAUAGCUAAGAAGAUUGUU
rnacentral:sRNA from 1 species